rnacentral:lncRNA from 1 species
UCUUCUGUGUCAGUUCUGUGACAGAACAUUUACUUAACACAUCAUGAAGGCUAGUUUGGAUGUGGAGGGGAAUAGACUCCAUCUAUCCAUAUGAGCUGCUGCAGAAGAAUAUUUUGCCUGCUGGAACCUGCUGUAUCUACUCAAGAGUGGAAGUUUUCACAGGUAACUUCUACAUAUCAAGUAACACAGGAUCAAAUGAAAACCUAGCAACACUUGGUUUCUGCCUGUAUCAGACAGGUGAAAUUGCAAGCAGUUAUACAAGUAGUGUACUAACUUCUCAUAAAGCCUACUCAAGGAGGGUAUUGUUAUUGUGUGCGUUUUACAGAUGGCUAUCCUAAGGCUGAUAGUAGUUGUAAAAUAUAGUCUAAGUUCAUAUCUAUAUGAAACAGAGUAUCUGGGUUUCUGUCCUGGCCAUCAGACUUGAAGAUCAUUUCUUAGAAACAAUUAUAUUAUCAAAACUGAAAAGAAAUACAAUCCAAGGUUGGAGUCUUAUUUUAGCAUCUAUUAAUCUUAAGCCAUUAAGUAAUCAAAAA